GUGAGAAGCCAUGGCAGGUGAUGUUAAGAUUCUGCUCUGUGUAUUUACAGGGCCACGGCAGCAGUGGAGAAACCAUAACCCAAGGAAAUAAUGAGGAGAUGGAAAAUUUACCAACCAGGACAAAAAGAGAAGUAGGAAGGCAACUCAGCAAGGUACAAAGUCUCGCCUCCAAACCUGGCUGCUCAGCAGAGGGGUACAGGAGCACAAAGGCUCCAGGAGACUGUAUGCAUCCCUGCCCAUGAAGGCAGGCAGGUAGCCAUAACUGUAGGAAGAAACCGUGGUUCUCAUGAGGAAUGUGCCCUGAAAGUGAUUUUUCUUGCAUAACAAGCCAGGUUUAAAGAAUACAGGCACCACAUUCUUCAUCUUCUAGGAUAUGUGUUCACAUCUGCUAAGGAGUAAACUACUCUGGGGAGGUGGGGUGUCACUGACAAGUCCAAGCGACACAUAGCUCCAGAUGGUCACAAAAGACAGUUAUUGGAGUGGACUGGUCACCAAUCUGCUAAAUGUAAUCACUGGCUGUGGAGGCAGUGGGUCAGUGGCUUCCAUUUCUGUGACAGGAGCCUGGAACAACUGUGUCCUAAGUGGCUUCAUCCAGCAGUUGAGAGAAACAGAUGCAGAGACCCCACAACCAAACAUCAGGAGAGCUGGGGAGUCCUGUGGAUGAGUUGGAAAUAGAACUGAACAAGCCAAUGGGGUCAAGAACACCACAAGAAGAUAUACAGAGUAAACUAACCUGGGUUCAUAGGGGCCCACAGAGAUUUAAGCAUCAACCAAAGAGUAUGCAAGGGUUGGACCUACGUCCCCACACAUUUGUAGCAGAAGUGCUGCUUGGUCUUCAUGUGGAUUCCCUAACAACUGGAGCAUGGGCUGUCUCUGACUCUGUUGCCUGCCAUUUGAUCUGCUUCUCCUAGUUAGACUACCUCAUUGGGCCUCAGUGGGAGAGGAUGCACUUGGUUUCUGCUGUGACUUGAUGUCCCAGAGCAAAGUGGUACCCAACCGGGGGGCUGUCUCUCUCUCUCUCUCUCUCUCUCUCUCUCUCUCUCUCUCUCUCUCAGAAGGGAAAGGGUGGUGGGGGGAGUGAUGGGGCUGUGGUCUGGAUAUAAAAUGAAAAAAUUCAUCCCUCUCAUACACUCACU
rnacentral:lncRNA from 1 species